CGAAGGUAAGUAUAUGAUUUAGCAAAGAUUCAGCAACUCACUUACAACUAAUUACAAAGAACAAAUAUCACAAGAAGACCUUGAGGCAUUGAGUCCAUAAGUUAUUCUAUUGUUGUUUCCCAUCAACCAAUAAUAACUAGCAUAGGCUUGAACAUCUAAGAAACUACAAUAUGCAUGAACUAUGUACAUAUAUAGAUAUUUCAUGUAGAAACUGAAGAACAAGCAGAGUAUGUUCAUAUACUAGAUAACCUGAUACAUGUUUAACAAACAGCAACAAAGGUAGAUUUCGUGGGAUACACCGAUACACAAGUUUAGUCCAGAUUCAGCAACGUCUGGGCCGCUCAUAGUGUGGAGGUAAAGAAGGACAAUUCUCAUUCAUGUUGGCAUAAGGGUCCAAUGUGUUGUACUCAGGCAGUUCCAUUUGAUAUUCGCCAAGAAUCUGGCAGAAAGAGACCUUAUUGUCUCCACCGUUGCACCAACUUGGGAGGCGUGUCUGAUUAUCUUCGAAAAUUUUGAGCAUGUAAGCAUCUCUAAUAGUGAACUCCGUUACUUGAAUAGAGUUGGAUAUAGGGCCAAAAACUCCAGCUUCUUUGUACAUUGCUAGAAUGAAGGCCACACAUGUAGUGGAUUGGCCAUCACUAUAGACCCAUUCAUCUUGUUCGGGGAUGGUCAGCAAUUGAUCAAACGUUAUACCACGUCUUUCAGUUUCAGCAAGAAUACCAUACAAGUCCAAAUCCUCAGUGCCAAGCCUCUUAUUCAGAGCUUCGUUCCACAUGUUAGCAGCAUAUGCCGGCUGCACUCUUGUCCACAUGGACAUGACAGAAAUCACCAAGUGAGCAUCAAGAGGUGGAGGGUAAUUAUCCGCUACUGUGUCAAUCCAACUAAAAAUCAUGUUAUGGUAACCAUAUGGCUUCCCGGACAUUUUCCGAGCAUAUUCCCAUGCUUCUGUAUUAUUGAAUCUCGCACGCACGUCAGGAUGCAAGGGCAACAAAGCAACUUGUGGAUUAGAUUCAUCCUUGAGUGUCAUUUCCCACCACUCAUCCCAAGGGAUAACUGCAAUAAUUUCUUCACCCUUUUCAUUUUCGUGUCCAGAUUCACCAACCCAAAGAUUACCCAACUCGUCCUUCAAACAAACUGACGUAUGACCAGCAAAGGCACCAGUGACCCACUUCUCAAGAGUUUCAAACCCACCCCACCGUCCACGUAUCUUUGACAGAGCUAAGAAAUCACCAGAAUGAACAUCAUCUGGGUUAAUUGUUGCCUGCCGUGGAUGUGGACGUUUCUCAAAUGUCG
rnacentral:misc_RNA from 1 species